rnacentral:misc_RNA from 1 species
AUGUGUUUGGACUUUUGUCCUUCAUCCCGACGCUGUGCGCCUUUCGAGGCUGCACGCCGAAGGAGCAUAUAUCCACACCUGUGCACAUACACGGUGGUGGGGCUUGGUUGCCUCGCCGCUGCUUCACACACGUCUUAACAGUCUUGUAUGUUUUAUAUCAUAUUAUACA